UACAGAGGUCCCAAGCGUUGUUCGGAUUCAUUGGGCGUAAAGGGUGCGUAGGUGGCGCGCUAAGACAGGUGUGAAAGCCCCGAGCUUAACUUGGGAAUUGCGCUUGUGACUGGCGUGCUGGAGUGUGGCAGAGGGAGGUGGAAUUCCACGUGUAGCAGUGAAAUGCGUAGAGAUGUGGAGGAACACCGAUGGCGAAGGCAGCCUCCUGGGCCAGCACUGACGCUCAUGCACGAAAGCGUGGGGAGCAAACAGG
rnacentral:rRNA from 1 species